rnacentral:rRNA from 1 species
UACGGGGGGGGCAAGCGUUGUUCGGAAUUACUGGGCGUAAAGGGUUCGUAGGUGGCUUGCUCAGUCAGGGGUGAAAUCCUGGAGCUCAACUCCAGAACUGCCUUUGAUACUGGAGAGCUUGAGUCCGGAAGAGGUGAGUGGAACUCCGAGUGUAGAGGUGAAAUUCGUAGAUAUUCGGAAGAACACCAGUGGCGAAGGCGGCUCACUGGUCCGGUACUGACGCUGAUGUGCGAAAGCGUGGGGAGCAAACAGG